CCUACGGGAGGCAGCAGUAAGGAAUAUUGGUCAAUGGACGAAAGUCUGAACCAGCCAUGCCGCGUGAAGGAUUAAGGUCCUCUGGAUUGUAAACUUCUUUUAUAGGGGACGAAAAAAGGGCAUUCUUGCUCUCUUGACGGUACCCUGUGAAUAAGCACCGGCUAACUCCGUGCCAGCAGCCGCGGUAAUACGGAGGGUGCAAGCGUUAUCCGGAUUCACUGGGUUUAAAGGGUGCGUAGGCGGGUAGGUAAGUCAGUGGUGAAAUCUCGGAGCUUAACUCCGAAACUGCCAUUGAUACUAUCUAUCUUGAAUAUUGUGGAGGUUUGCGGAAUAUGUCAUGUAGCGGUGAAAUGCAUAGAUAUGACAUAGAACACCUAUUGCGAAGGCAGCAGGCUACACAUAUAUUGACGCUGAGGCACGAAAGCGUGGGGAUCAAACAGGAUUAGAUACCCUGGUAGUCCACGCCCUAAACGAUAGAUUACUCGACAUACGUGUAUACUACUAUGUGUGUCGUGAGACGAAGACGAUUAAGUUAAGUAACCGUACCGUACGGUUAGGUUACGUCCGUUCGAGGAAGUUAGAACGUUACGAAGGAAGUUAGGACGGCGUUGAGACGNGCGACGGACGACGACGAGGGAGGAGG
rnacentral:rRNA from 1 species